UAUAUUCUCUAGUCCGUUUUGCUAUGUUUCCCCAUCUUAUAACUCCAGUCUGGAGUCUUGCAGUUCAGGGGAACUGCUGUUUUUUAAAUGCUGUUGUAGUUUUCAGUUCACAGGCAGUAGUUCUCCUUUAAGAAGAACAUGAGACCAGCCUUGUCAAGGAAAGAAAAAGAAAGAAGCAGCAGCUCUCUGCAGACACAGAAAGGCUUUAAGCAGGAAUCUGCUCCAGAUCUGAGCUGCAGUCUCCAUUAAGAGAGGAUAUGAAGGUGCCCUGUUUCUGAAGGACCUGUGACAUGUAAUAUACCUGACGACUUUCAGUGAGGUAUGAAAUUGAUGCAUGUGUACUGUGGCCUACGAAAGAAGUUCUUCAGAGUAUGUAUUGUAUUAGUAUUUAUUUUAUUUUUUUUAACAGAAAUUUGUAUUAAAAAUAUAUAUCUGUUAACAGGCCAAGAAAGAACUUCAGCUAGAGAUCUACAAAUCAAUGAAUAGAUGUUUUAGGCUCAGAUCUAGUUUUAGAUAUUUCUGCAAGUGCUUGCUUCUGUGAAUAGAUAUAAAAUAACCUGCCAAGAAGUCAUAACAGGGCAUCUUAGACA